CGAACGCUGGCGGCAUGCCUAACACAUGCAAGUCGAACGAGACCUUCGGGUCUAGUGGCGCCCGGGUGCGUAACGCGUGGGAACCUGCCCUUAGGUUCGGAAUAACUCCCCGAAAGGGGUGCUAAUACCGGAUAAUGUCUUCGGACCAAAGAUUUAUCGCCUUUGGAUGGGCCCGCGUUGGAUUAGCUAGUUGGUAGGGUAAAAGCCUACCAAGGCGACGAUCCAUAGCUGGUCUGAGAGGAUGAUCAGCCACACUGGGACUGAGACACGGCCCAGACUCCUACGGGAGGCAGCAGUGGGGAAUAUUGGACAAUGGGCGAAAGCCUGAUCCAGCAGUGCCGCGUGAGUGAUGAAGGCCUUAGGGUUGUAAAGCUCUUUUACCCGGGAUGAUAAUGACAGUACCGGGAGAAUAAGCUCCGGCUAACUCCGUG
rnacentral:rRNA from 1 species